GGUGGCUCAGUGGUAGAGUGCUUGCCUCGCAUGCAUGAGGCCUGGGUUCAAUUCCUCAGUACCA
rnacentral:tRNA from 1 species